UUUUUUUUUUUUGUUUUUUAUUUUUUUUUUUUAUAAUUUUUCUUCUUUUUAUGAAAAUACUCUUUGUUGUCUCUUUAUGUAUAGGAUUCUUUUGUUGUCAUGCUUUUUCUCUCCUUGUAGUUCUUUUUGAGGGCCCUUCAUUAUUUUCAUCUUUCCUUCAUUUUUUUUCUAUUAGCGCUUCAUGUUGAUUCCUUUUAAUAUGAGUAUACACAGAUAAUCUAUCUAUUGGAUCAUCCCACCCAAUAAUCUGUCAAAUGUUAUUACCAACAUGUUUUAAAUCAUUUCUAGUAAAAUUUUCCCUUUCAGCAUAACUCAUUGCAUUUGUCCACAAAAAACUAGAUUCUCCUAGAAAUUCAAGAUUUAUA
rnacentral:lncRNA from 1 species